GACGAACGCUGGCGGCAUGCUUAACACAUGCAAGUCGAACGAGAAGUUCGGGUCUAGGGGCGGACCGCUACGUACCGCCUGGGAACCUGCCUUUAGGUUAGCAGUCACUCAGAGAGAUUUAAGCUCAUAAAAGAUGAUGUCUUAGGACCUAAGAUUUAUUGCCUUUAGAUGGGCCCGCGUUGGAUUAGGUAGUUGGUGGGGUACAGGCCUACCAAGGCGACGAUCCAUAGCUGGUCUGAGAGGAUGAUCAGCCAGACUGGGACUGAGACACGGCUCAGACUCCGACGGGAGGCAGCAGUAGGGAGUAUUGGACAAUGGGCGAAAGACGGAUCCAGCAAUGCCGCGUGAGUGAUGAAGGCCUUAGGGUUGUAAAGUUCUUUUACCCGAGAUGAUAAUGACAGUAUCGGGAGAAUAAGCUCCGGCUAACUCCGUG
rnacentral:rRNA from 1 species